GAUGAACGCUGGCGGCGUGCCUAAUACAUGCAAGUAGAACGCUGAAGGAGGAGCUUGCUCUUCUGGAUGAGUUGCGAACGGGUGAGUAACGCGUAGGUAACCUGCCUGGUAGCGGGGGAUAACUAUUGGAAACGAUAGCUAAUACCGCAUGACAACAGUUAUUGCAUGAUAACUGUUUAAAAGGGGCAACUGCUCCACUACCAGAUGGACCUGCGUUGUAUUAGCUAGUUGGUGAGGUAACGGCUCACCAAGGCGACGAUACAUAGCCGACCUGAGAGGGUGAUCGGCCACACUGGGACUGAGACACGGCCCAGACUCCUACGGGAGGCAGCAGUAGGGAAUCUUCGGCAAUGGACGGAAGUCUGACCGAGCAACGCCGCGGGAGUGAAGAAGGUUUUCGGAUCGUAAAGCUCUGUUGUAAGAGAAGAACGAGUGUGAGAGUGGAAAGUUCACACUGUGACGGUAUCUUACCAGAAAGGGACGGCUAACUACGUG
rnacentral:rRNA from 1 species